rnacentral:rRNA from 1 species
CGAGGAAUUUUCCGCAAUGGGCGAAAGCCUGACGGAGCAACGCCGCGUGGGGGAAGAAGGCCUUCGGGUUGUAAACCCCUGUUGCGAGGGAAGAAGAUCUGACGGUACCUCGCGAGAAAGCCACGGCUAACUACGUGCCAGCAGCCGCGGUAAUACGUAGGUGGCAAGCGUUGUCCGGAUUUACUGGGCGUAAAGCGCGCGCAGGCGGACUGGUCAGUCCGGGGUGAAAUCUCACGGCUCAACCGUGAGGGGUCCCUGGAUACUGCCAGUCUUGAGGGGCUCAGAGGAGUGUGGAAUUCCGGGUGUAGUGGUGGAAUGCGUAGAUAUCCGGAGGAACACCAGUGGCGAAAGCGGCACUCUGGGGGCAACCUGACGCUGAGGCGCGAAAGCGUGGGGAGCGAACCGG